rnacentral:rRNA from 1 species
UAGCUAAGUUCUUAAGGGCGCAUGGUGAAUGCCUUGGCACUAGAAGCCGAAGAAGGACGUAGGAGGCUGCGAUAAGCCUC